CUCAAUACGGGAGGCUGUGAUCCGCCGGACGUACCACUGCGGCCACCGUAGUCCGUCGGGGAGCCACUGGUGAGACCGACCCGCGGACCG
rnacentral:ncRNA from 1 species